rnacentral:rRNA from 1 species
UGACUGUAGGUGAAAGCUUACAUCUCUUCGGAGCAUUUUACGAGGUGCUGCAUGGUUGUCGUCAGCUCGUGCCGUGAGGUGUCGGGUUAAGUCCCAUAACGAGCGCAACCCUACCUUUAGUUGCCAUCAGGUAAUGGCUGGGGAACUCUAAAGGAACUGCCUACGCAAGUAGUGAGGAAGGCGGGGAUGACGUCAAAUCAGCACGGCCCUUACGUCCAGGGCUACACACGUGCUACAAUGGCCGAUACAGAGGGCAGCUACCUGGUGACAGGAUGCAAAUCUCCAAAGUCGGUCUCAGUUCGGAUCGGAGUCUGCAACCCGACUCCGUGAAGUUGGAUUCGCUAGUAAUCGCGCAUCAGCCAUGGCGCGGUGAAUACGUUCCCGGGCCUU